UACGGAAGGGGGCUAGCGUUGUUCGGAAUUACUGGGCGUAAAGGGCGCGUAGGCGGUACUUCAAGUCAGGCGUGAAAGCCCGGGCUCAACCUGGGAACCGCGCUUGAGACUGGAGAACUAGAGUUCGGGAGAGGAUGGUGGAAUUCCCAGUGUAGAGGUGAAAUUCGUAGAUAUUGGGAAGAACACCGAUGGCGAAGGCAGCCAUCUGGACCGACACUGACGCUGAUGCGCGGAAAGCGUGGGGAAUCGAAACGAGGACAUUAGG
rnacentral:rRNA from 1 species